ensembl:lncRNA
AAUGGAGAGGUUUAGGGGCUGGGGUAUGUGGAGAGGUUUAGGGGCUGGGGUAAGUGGAGAGGUUAAGGGGCUGGGGUAAAUGGAGAGGUUUAGGGGCUGGGGUAAGUGGAGAGGUUUAGGGGCUGGGGUAAGUGGAGAGGUUAAGGGGCUGGGGUAAGUGGAGAGGUUAAGGGGCUGGGGUAAGUGGAGAGGUUAAGGGGCUGGGGUAAGUGGAGAGGUUUAGGGGCUGGGGUAAGUGGAGAGGUUUAGAGGCUGGGGUAAGUGGAGAGGUUAAGGGGCUGGGGUAAGUGGAGAGGUUUAGGGGCUGGGGUAAGUGGACAGGUUUAGAGGCCGGGGUAAGUGGAGAGGUUUAGGGGCUG